CAGGCACAAUGGCAGGACUGCUGG
rnacentral:piRNA from 1 species